CCUACGGGCGGCAGCAGUGAGGAAUAUUGGUCAAUGGACGAGAGUCUGAACCAGCCAAGUAGCGUGAAGGAUGACUGCCAUAUGGGUUGUAAACUUCUUUUAUAUGGGAAUAAAACGUUCCACGUGUGGGAUUUUGUAUGUACCAUAUGAAUAAGGAUCGGCUAACUCCGUGCCAGCAGCCGCGGUAAUACGGAGGAUCCGAGCGUUAUCCGGAUUUAUUGGGUUUAAAGGGAGCGUAGGUGGAUUGUUAAGUCAGUUGUGAAAGUUUGCGGCUCAACCGUAAAAUUGCAGUUGAAACUGGCAGUCUUGAGUACAGUAGAGGUGGGCGGAAUUCGUGGUGUAGCGGUGAAAUGCUUAGAUAUCACGAAGAACUCCGAUUGCGAAGGCAGUUCACUGGACUGCAACUGACACUGAGGCUCGAAAGUGUGGGUAUCAAACAGGAUUAGAUACCCUAGUAGUC
rnacentral:rRNA from 1 species